UACGGAGGGUGCGAGCGUUGUCCGGAUUCAUUGGGUUUAAAGGGUGCGUAGGCGGCCGAAUAAGUCAGGGGUGAAAUACCGCGGCUCAACCGCGGGGCUGCCCCUGAUACUGCUCGGCUUGGCUGCCGGAAGGGCAUGCGGAAUUUGCGAUGUAGCGGUGAAAUGCAUAGAUACCGCAAGGAACGCCGGAGGCGAAGGCGGCGUGCUAGCCGGCCAGCGACGCUGAUGCACGAAAGCGCGGGUAGCGAACAGG
rnacentral:rRNA from 1 species